AGGGGAGUAAAUAGAGAAGGAUGACAGACCAGACCGAGGGAGUAGAGAGAGGGAUUGACAGACCAGACCAAGGGAGUAGAGUAGAGAGGAUGACAAACCAGACCAAGGAGUAGAGUAGAGAGGAUUGACAGACCAGACCAGGGGAGUAGAGUAGAGAGAUUGACAAGACCAGACCAUGGAGUAGAGUAGAGAGAAUUGACAGACCAGACCAGGGGAGUAGAGUAGAGAGAAUUGACAGACCAGACAAGGAGUAGAGAAGGAAUUGACAGACCAGACCAAUGGAGUAGAGUAGAAGAAAUGACAGACCAGACCAAUGAUAGAGUAGAAGAGAUUGACAGACCAGACCAGGGGAGUAGAUAGAGAGAAUUGACAGACCAGACCAAUGGAGUAGAGUAGAGAGAAUUGACAGACCAGGACCAAUGGAGUAGAGUAGAGAGAUUGACAGACCAGACCAAUGAGAGUAGAGAGUAGAGGAUUGACAGACCAGACCUGGGGGAGUAGAGUAGAGAGGAUUGACAGACCACACCAAUGGAGUAGAGUAGAGGAUGGAUAGACCAGACCAAGGGAGGAGGGUAGAGAGGAGGGGGGUUGUUCUGUAGUUUCACAAUAAUAUCUUUCAAUGGCCCUUCAUAUCAUAGUGCAAUGUGUGUGUGUGUGUGUGUGUGUGUGUGUGUGUGUGUGUGUGUGUGUGUGUGUGUGUUGUGUGUGUGUGUGUGAGUGUGUAAAAACAAUGAAAACACGUUUUCUCUACCUUGAAAACAUGAGUGCUCUUUAGAUCCGUUUGAAAGGAUUUCUUGGUAGUCAUAGCAUGUACGAGUACAUCUGUAUAAUAGCCUCCACUGCUUGCCAUCCAUCAUUAAUGUAGUGUAUGAGUCAUCCUUUAUAAUGGUUGUUUUUUCCUUCACGGUAAAUGUUGAAGACACCGUUGAAUGUUACCAAAAUCGAGAAGAGCACUUACCAUCAAGAGAUUGCGGCAUUAGCCAGAUCUUCAUUACAUGGCAUUUCCCAGGCGAUGAAGGACCAUGUGACACGGCCCACAGGCAUGGCCCAGGGCAGGGUGGCCCACCUGAUAGAGUGGAAGGCUGGUGUAAGCCACUGACACCCCCGCAGCUCUGGAGUCUGACUUCAAACACUAUCUGACACUCACUGAGGAGAAACAGGAGGCCCGCUUCGCUGCAGGUCAGUAGCCCUACCCAGUUUAUCAUUACGAUCAUUUAGUUUUAAUUUAACAGGGAAGUUGACUGAGAAUGUUUUUUGCAGCAAUGACUUGAGGUAUUAAAAUGUUGUGCAAUGUUCCCUUUCUCUCAGUUUUUUUGUCCCCUUUCUAUGCCACUAUUUUUUCCUCUGUUCCUGUCUGCCUCCCUCCCUGCAGUGCAGCCUCUCAAGGGUUAAUUUGCACAGUAUCUGCUCCUGGCUAGUGCCAGGCGUGACUGAGCACUUUUCUCUGUGCCCCUCGUCUCCCUCAUUUGAUUUAUUUUUUCUCCUCUCCUCUCCUCUCCUUCCUCUCCUCUCCUCCUCUCCUCUCUCUCCUCCCUCUCCUCUCCUCUCCUCCCUCUCCUCUCCUCCCUCUCCUCUCCUCCUCCUCUCCUCUCCUCAUCUCCUUUGUCUCCUAUCCUCUCCUUUCCUCAUCUAAUAUGCCCCUUACACACAUACAGGCAUGCAAACACUUCUACCCCCUUCUGAUUCCACCACACAUCCAGCUAACCCCAGAGUUAUUUCAAUUGUCCUUCACUUCCUCUUACAUCAUCAUCAUGUGCCUGUCCACUCUGUCAGAACCCCAAAAUCCUGACAUCUCUGGCUCCUUUUGAACUUUAGCUGGGCUUGGGUGACUUACAGUGAAUGUAUUGUACUGUAUAUGUGAGAGUGUGUGACUGUUUUGUAGAAUGAUUGUUUUUCAAUUAUGGAGGAGAGCACAAGGGUAAAUGUGUGUUGUAAGGUUUUGACU
ensembl:lncRNA